UACGUAGGGUGCGAGCGUUGUCCGGAAUUAUUGGGCGUAAAGAGCUUGUAGGUGGCUCGUUGCGUCGGGAGUGAAAACCUGCGGCUUAACCGCAGGCCUGCUUCCGAUACGGGCGAGCUAGAGUUCGGCAGGGGAGACUGGAAUUCCUGGUGUAGCGGUGGAAUGCGCAGAUAUCAGGAGGAACACCGGUGGCGAAGGCGGGUCUCUGGGCAGUAACUGACGUGAGGAGCGAAAGCGUGGGGAGCGAACAGG
rnacentral:rRNA from 1 species